AUUGAACGCUGGCGGCAGGCCUAACACAUGCAAGUCUAGCGGUAGAGAGGUGCUUGCACCUCUUGAGAGCGGCGGACGGGUGAGUAAUGCCUAGGAAUCUGCCUGGUAGUGGGGGAUAACGUCCGGAAACGGACGCUAAUACCGCAUACGUCCUACGGGAGAAAGCAGGGGACCUUCGGGCCUUGCGCUAUCAGAUGAGCCUAGGUCGGAUUAGCUUGUUGGUGAGGUAAUGGCUCACCAAGGCGACGAUCCGUAACUGGUCUGAGAGGAUGAUCAGUCACACUGGAACUGAGACACGGUCCAGACUCCUACGGGAGGCAGCAGUGGGGAAUAUUGGACAAUGGGCGAAAGCCUGAUCCAGCCAUGCCGCGUGUGUGAAGAAGGUCUUCGGAUUGUAAAGCACUUUAAGUUGGGAGGAAGGGUUGUAGAUUAAUACUCUGCAAUUUUGACGUUACCGACAGAAUAAGCACCGGCUAACUCUGUGCCAGCCGCCGCCGUAAAAC
rnacentral:rRNA from 1 species